UGGGGAAUAUUGGACAAUGGGCGAAAGCCUGAUCCAGCAACGCCGCGUGAGGGAUGACGGCCUUCGGGUUGUAAACCUCUUUCAGCAGGGACGAAGCGCAAGUGACGGUACCUGCAGAAGAAGCACCGGCCAACUACGUGCCAGCAGCCGCGGUAAUACGUAGGGUGCGAGCGUUGUCCGAAAUUAUUGGGCGUAAAGGGCUCGUAGGCGGUCUGUCACGUCGGGGGAGUGAAAACUCGGGGCUCAACCCCGAGCCUGCUUCCGAUACGGGCAGACUAGAGGUAUGCAGGGGAGAAUGGAAUUCCUGGUGUAGCGGUGAAAUGCGCAGAUAUCAGGAGGAACACCGGUGGCGAAGGCGGUUCUCUGGGCAUUACCUGACGCUGAGGAGCGAAAGUGUGGGGAGCGAACAGGAUUAGAUACCCUGGUAGUCCACACCGUAAACGUUGGGCGCUAGGUGUGGGGCUCAUUCCACGAGUUCCGUGCCGCAGCUAACGCAUUAAGCGCCCCGCCUGGGGAGUAC
rnacentral:rRNA from 1 species